AUUGAACGCUGGCGGCAUGCCUUACACAUGCCAGUCGAACGGCAGCACGGGUGCUUGCCCCUGGUGGCGAGUGGCGCACGGGUGAGUAAUACAUCGGAACAUGUCCUGUAGUGGGGGAUCGCCCGGCGAAAGCCGGAUUAAUACCGCAUACGAUCUACGGAUGAAAGCGGGGGCCCUUCGGGCCUCGCGCUAUAGGGUUGGCCGAUGGCUGAUUAGCUAGUUGGUGGGGUAAAGGCCUACCAAGGCGACGAUCAGUAGCUGGUCUGAGAGGACGACCAGCCACACUGGGACUGAGACACGGCCCAGACUCCUACGGGAGGCAGCAGUGGGGAAUUUUGGACAAUGGGCGAAAGCCUGAUCCAGCAAUGCCGCGUGUGUGAAGAAGGCCUUCGGGUUGUAAAGCACUUUUGUCCGGAAAGAAAUCCUUGGCCCUAAUACGGUCGGGGGAUGACGGUACCGGAAGAAUAAGCACCGGCUAACUACGUG
rnacentral:rRNA from 1 species